rnacentral:rRNA from 1 species
AUUGAACGUUGGCGGCAUGCCUUACACAUGCAAGUCGAACGGCAGCACGGGAGCAAUCCUGGUGGCGGGUGGCGAACGGGUGAGUAAAGUAUCGGAACGUGCCCAGUCGUGGGGGAUAACGUAGCGAAAGUUACGCUAAUACCGCAUACGAUCUAUGGCUGAAAGCGGGGGAUCGCAAGACCUCGCGCGAUUGGAGCGGCCGAUAUUAGAUUAGGUAGUUGGUGGGGUAAAGGCUCACCAAGCCGACGAUCUGUAGCUGGUCUGAGAGGACGAGGAGCCCGCCUGGGACCGUGACAGGGGCCAGACUCCUACGGGGGGCAGCAGUGGGGAAUGUUGGACAAUGAGCGAAAGCCUGAUCCAGCCAUGCCGCGUGCGGGAUGAAGGCCUUCGGGUUGUAGACUGCUGUUGUACGGAACGAAAAGGUUUGGCCUAAUAAGCUGGGCUCAUGACGGGACCGUAAGAAUAAGCACCGGCUAACUACGUGCCAGCCGCCGCAGUAA